ACAUGGCAGCCUCAACAAAAAACAAGAAUUAGAAGGGGAAGACCAUCUCCAUAACAGACUUUCUAGCUGAAGAUGGGGGACCUGGUGGAGGAAGCACCUACAUACCCAAACCAGUCAGCUGGGCUGAUGACACAGAAGAUCUGGAAGGAGAUGUGUCAACAAUGUGGCACACUAAUGAUGAUUAUGUGCACAGGGCCCCUACAAUUGACCUUUCUAUCCUUCCCACUGCUCCAUGGGCUGCUUGGGAACCCAGUAUCAACCUGAGCCAUCUUCCCAAAUUGCUACUCUACACUGCUUUCCUAGAGGAUCUGCUCUAUGAUGUGACAGAAGACUCUAAAAAAAUUCUUUA
rnacentral:lncRNA from 1 species